rnacentral:rRNA from 1 species
UACGUAGGGGGCAAGCGUUGUCCGGAUUUAUUGGGCGUAAAGAGCUCGUAGGUGGCCUGUCGCGUCGGCUGUGAAAACUCGGGGCUCAACUCCCGAGCUUGCAGUCGAUACGGGCAGGCUAGAGUUCGGCAGGGGAGACUGGAAUUCCUGGUGUAGCGGUGAAAUGCGCAGAUAUCAGGAGGAACACCGGUGGCGAAGGCGGGUCUCUGGGCCGAUACUGACACUGAGGAGCGAAGCGUGGGAGCGAACAGG